GCCCCGGUGGCACAGCUGGAUAGCGCGGCCCCCUCCUAAGGGGGAGGUCCCAGGUUCGAAUCCUGGUCGGGGCGCCA
rnacentral:tRNA from 1 species